rnacentral:lncRNA from 1 species
CAGUGGCAUCGAUAGUCCAGAAUACUUGGUUCUUUCUGGUUUUGCCUGCGGACAAACCUGGCAUUGAUCAACAAAAGAGUGCACAUUUUUCUUCACCUGGGACCAAACAAAGAUUGCUUUAACUCUUGUGUAUGUAACUGGAAACCAGAGUGAUCUCCCAAGGCACUAGCAUGAAGAGCUAAUAGAAUUUUAUGUUGUAAAGCUUCAUUACUGCCCAACCAAAUUCUUCCUUUGAAUCUGAUCACCCCAUUAGUUAAAGAAUAGCUGUCCUUAAUUGUACCCAGCACUAAUUCAACCAAAAAAGACUUUGACUGUUCUUCAC